GAUGAACGCUGGCGGCGUGCCUAACACAUGCAAGUCGAGCGAUCUUCUUCGGAAGAGAGCGGCGGACGGGUGAGUAACGCGUGGGUAACCUGCCCUGUACACACGGAUAACAUACCGAAAGGUAUGCUAAUACGGGAUAAUAUGCUUUUAUCGCAUGGUAGAAGUAUCAAAGCUCCGGCGGUACAGGAUGGACCCGCGUCUGAUUAGCUAGUUGGUAAGGUAACGGCUUACCAAGGCGACGAUCAGUAGCCGACCUGAGAGGGUGAUCGGCCACAUUGGAACUGAGACACGGUCCAAACUCCUACGGGAGGCAGCAGUGGGGAAUAUUGCACAAUGGGCGGAAGCCUGAUGCAGCAACGCCGCGUGAGCGAUGAAGGCCUUCGGGCCGUAAAGCUCUGUCAUCAAGGAAGAUAAUGACGGUACUUGAGGAGGAAGCCCCGGCUAACUACGUGCCAGCCGCCGCCGUAA
rnacentral:rRNA from 1 species